AAACUGCUCUAUCAAGACUGUUAAGAAUAAAGGUGGGUGUCCAAAACGAGUAAGAACAGACUUUGGGACCGAAAAUGUGCAUAUUCAAAGCAUGCAACAGUUUCUUCGAAGAAACGGCGAAGAUUCAUUGGCAGGUGAUCGAAGUUUUAUAUCAGGAACAAGUUCUCUUAAACAAAGGAUAGAGUGGUUUUGGGGUCUCUUGCGAAAGGAAAUGGGUUAAUUCUUCAUGGAUUUAUUUGCAGACCUUGCAAUUGGUAAAGACGACAAUGACUUUUUCAACAGUAAUAUGAUAGACAAAUGCAUAAUUCAGUUCUGCUUCAUGGAUAUUAUUCAGAAAAAUCUGGAUGAGAUACGGGAUACAUGGAACACGCACAGACUGCAGUCCAACGACAACGGCGUCGGUGGAGGCAAGCGUCCAGUAUUACUGUACAAUCUCCCCCAUUUGUAUCAUGUGCAUGACCAUCUAUGUACAGUGGAUGAAUACGAAAUCAAUAUCUGUGAAGAGGAAACAACAUCAAAAAUACUAUGUGCUAUUGAAAAUAUUUCAGAGCUGUGCAAGAUUUUAAUGGAAGAAGGCCAAAUGAAUUAUCCGACCACUGCAACAGAGGCAAAGGAGCUAUACAUACAAUUGAGAGAAAUAAUUUUAUGUGAAUUAGAAGAUUUUGCUUAAUUCAUAUUUAUCAGAGAUUUUUCAGGCAAACAUGUUGUUCAUUUUUAUGGUGUUUUCUCUCCACGAAUUGAUUUUGUUUACAUGGAAUUAGAAUUACAGUUACAGUUAUUUGUACAUAAUAUUGUCUUACAUAUAAUUAUAAAUAAUAAUCACCUUACGUGCAUACUAGCACGUUUAUGCAAACUUUUAAAGAAAAGCAGACAUGAUAUUUUUUUUCGAACUAUUGUAUAGUACAAGAACCCUUUAAAGAUAUGUCUUAAAGGUUCGCCCAAAUGCAUAUAAAUUGUAGUAUGAGUUGUUUACAACGACGAGGUUUAUAUAUGAAUAUAUCCAUUUUCAACUAUUA